UACGUAGGGUGCAAGCGUUGUCCGGAAUUAUUGGGCGUAAAGAGCUCGUAGGCGGUCUGUCGCGUCUGCUGUGAAAAUCCAGGGCUCAACCCUGGACCUGCAGUGGGUACGGGCAGACUAGAGUGCGGUAGGGGAGAUCGGAAUUCCUGGUGUAGCGGUGAAAUGCGCAGAUAUCAGGAGGAACACCGGUGGCGAAGGUGGAUCUCUGGGCCGUAACUGACGCUGAGGAGCGAAAGCAUGGGGAGCGAACAGG
rnacentral:rRNA from 1 species